GAUCAUGGUUCAGGAUGAACGCUGGCGGCGUGCCUAACACAUGCAAGUCGAACGGAGCUGCUUUGAUGAAGUUUUCGGAUGGAUUUAAAACAGCUUAGUGGCGGACGGGUGAGUAACGCGUGGGUAACCUGCCUCACACUGGGGGAUAACAGUUAGAAAUAGCUGCUAAUACCGCAUAAGCGCACGGUUCCGCAUGGAACAGUGUGAAAAACUCCGGUGGUGUGAGAUGGAUCCGCGU
rnacentral:rRNA from 1 species